AUGUCACCCGACUCUGCCAAAAGCCAACUUGGAAGCACUUUGAAAAACAUAGUCAGAGCUACACACUCACUACACAGAGGCAAAAGCAAGUCCCUUAGGGUAUUUCAGAAAUGAAAUCUUAGCCACUCCAAUACUGAGCGUCAUUCAAGCCUAAUGCACACCGGGAAAUAGAGUCCAGCCACCCGCCUAGUCUUUGGGCGGUCGGUGACUUCCUGCACGCGUGCAUUCUGGGAAAUCGAGUCCGCACCCGUGAUUACUUAGUACUCCGGUUGUGAGGCACUCUGGGAAAUGAAGUCGUCACCACGCCCUCACCGCAUUGCAGGAUUCCAAUGACACAAGAAGGAGCUUCAGCUUUCCUGAGUAUGAAUCUCCCGUUAACCAAUUAAUACCCCGGGAGAUCGCUCCAAAGUAGGAAAUACACUGUCACCACCACCACCACCACCUCCACCACCACCACCGUGAGGAAAUGUUCCAGACCUCCAAAUGGAUUUAGGUGGGCGAUUAAAGACUGGAGGAGCUGCUGUUUUUAAGGCCAAAAAGCACCCUCUGACAUCCCACACGGCCAGAAUCUGGGUCGACAAGUCUGAUUAGAUCAUGACCUGUCCUCUGGAAGGGUUCUGAGGCUGAACGCUUUGAUUAGAGUCACAUGAUUAGAGGUGCUUUGAAGGCCCAGCGGUGACUACACGUGCCUUUGAUCCCAGCAGGCUGGGGCAGGCAGAUCUGUGAGUUGGAGGCCAGCCUGGUCUCCUUGUGUGAGUUCCUUGACAGCCAGAGCUACAUGGAGGAAUCCGGCCUUUAAAAAAUAAAUAAAAAUAAAAUAAAAUAAAAAAACACAAGACUUUGAGGAGUUCUGCUGAGGGAGGAUACUAGCCAGUGCUGCUUCUUUCUUGCAAUGACAACAUCCGCCUUUCUGUAUCACCCCACUAGCAACUCAGCUGCAUCUAUGUUGCCAGGAGAUAUGUCUCAUCCCAACUUCCAGAAAUAACCCAGUGGUUCCCACCCCAGGGAAUGUGGCUUACAUCACCCAGGAGAGGGAGCAGUUGCCCACAAGCUGCCACAGGCGCCUGUUUCCUGCCAGUCUCCCGGUCCUGGGCAGCAGAAUCCUGGAGCACCCACUCCAGGGUUCACACACACUGACAUUUCAGUGCAGGGGUGCGAAGCAGUUGCCAGCUCCAUGUCCCGUCCCCCUUGGGGCUGCACAAGGUGGAGUCUUACAGUGAAGCAGUGGGCCUCAAGUCCCACUCUUUAUCUCUCAGCAACUGUAUGGCCUUGAGGGAACCCCUUUCCCCUUUCUGGGCCUAGGGCAUCACACCUGCACUGCCCAGGUGGGGCCUGUAUCCUCCAGCAACCAAAGCCUGAAUUCUUCCUGAUUGUUUUAUCUCCUUGAGGACUCAGCUCUCCAAACUCCUGGUUUCUUAGCUCUAUACGAUCAUCAUCAUCAUCAUCAUCAUCACCAUCACCAUCACCAUCACCAUCAUCAUCAACCAAAUUCCAAGAUUCCAGAUCCUUUGAUCUGGACUGGGACAUCUUGGCAUUCCACUGGAAAAUCCAGUUAAGACAUUAGAUUAAAGGGCCACUUUUAUUGAAUAGCUCAACUCUUAGGUCCACAGGCAAGUUUAAUGAAGGCCUUUGUUGUUGAAUGCUUAAGGAACUAAAACGACGGGCGGGGGCGGGGUGAGUGCACGCAGGCCUUUUAAUCCCACUACCCAGGAGGCCCAGGAGGCCGAGGCAGGUGAAUCUGAGUACGAGGCCAGCCUGGUCCAACAGAGUUCCAGAACAGCAAAGGCUACACAAAGAAACUGGCUGGCUGGCGGGGGUGGGAACCUGAAAUGUUUACCUUGCACAAAGCAGGUCAGUCACCAUCUUAAUGCAACAAAUCCCUCUCAAACCCUGCUAGGUGGGAGGGAGGCUCGGUGAGACAAAGACUACCAAUUACUUUCCAAGGUUCCUUUAAGACAUAAGUUUUAUUGGGGCUGGAAAGAUGGCUUGGUGGCUAAGAGCACUUGCUGCUCUUGCAGAUGACCCAGGGUUGGUUCCCAGCA